rnacentral:rRNA from 1 species
AGAGUUUGAUCCUGGCUCAGGACGAACGCUGGCGGCGUGCUUAACACAUGCAAGUCGAACGGUGAACCUGCUUCGGUGGGGGAUCAGUGGCGAACGGGUGCGUAACACGUGGGCAACCUGCCCUCAGCUCUGGGAUAACUCCAAGAAAUUGGGGCUAAUACCGGAUAUGACCGCUGACCGCAUGGUCUGGUGGUGGAAAGAUUUAUCGGCUGGGGAUGGGCCCGCGGCCUAUCAGCUUGUUGGUGGGGUAGUGGCCUACCAAGGCGACGACGGGUAGCCGGCCUGAGAGGGUGACCGGCCACACUGGGACUGAGACACGGCCCAGACUCCUACGGGAGGCAGCAGUGGGGAAUAUUGCGCAAUGGGCGAAAGCCUGACGCAGCGACGCCGCGUGGGGGAUGACGGCCUUCGGGUUGUAAACCUCUUUCAGCAGGGACGAAGCGGAAGUGACGGUACCUGCAGAAGAAGCACCGGCCAACUACGUGCCAGCAGCCGCGGUAAUACGUAGGGUGCAAGCGUUGUCCGGAAUUAUUGGGCGUAAAGAGCUCGUAGGCGGUUCGUCGCGUCGGCUGUGAAAUCCCGAGGCUCAACCUCGGGUCUGCAGUCGAUACGGGCGGACUUGAGUUCGGCAGGGGAGACUGGAAUUCCUGGUGUAGCGGUGAAAUGCGCGAUAUCAGGAGGAACACCGGUGGCGAAGGCGGGUCUCUGGGCCGAUACUGACGCUGAGGAGCGAAAGCGUGGGGAGCGAACAGGAUUAGAUACCCUAGUAGUCC